GGCUUGGUGGUGGAUGGUACACACCUAUCUUCUGCACCCAGUUGCCAAUUGACUUGAGCAGGAGAAGCCUGUUCGAAUCAGGUCCGAGCCU